UACAGGGGGUGCAAACGUUGCUCGGAAUCAUUUGGGCGUAAAGCGCACGUAGGCGGUCUGUUAUGUCGGAUGUGAAAGCCCUUUGGCUUUAACUGAGGAAGUGCAUCCGAAACUGGCAGGCUAGAGUACUAAAGAGGGUCGCGGAAUUUCCCGGUGUAGAGGUGAAAUUCGUAGAUAUCGGGGAGGAACACCGGUGGCGAAGGCGGCGACCUGGGUAGAUACUGACGCUGAGGUGCGAAAGCGUGGGGAGCAAACAGG
rnacentral:rRNA from 1 species